AGUUCGGAUCAUGGCUCAGAUUGAACGCUGGCGGGAUGCUUUACACAUGCAAGUCGAACGGCAGCACGGACUUCGGUCUGGUGGCGAUAAGAACGGGUGAGUAAUGUAUCGGAACGUGCCUAGUAGCGGGGGAUAACUACGCGAAAGCGGUGGCCAAUACCGCAUACGCCCUUCGGGGGAAAGCGGGGACCUUCGGGCCUUCGCACUAUUAGAGCGGCCGAUAUCGGAUUGAAGAAGAGGGUAACGGCUCAAUAAGGACGAUCCGUAGCUGGUUUGAGAGGAGACCAGCCACACUGGGACUGGAGACACGGCCCAGACUCCUACGGGAGGCAGUGGGGAAUUUUGGACAAUGGGGAAACCCUGAUCCAGCCAUCCCGCGUGUGCGAUGAAGGCCUUCGCCAGGAAGCACUUCUCUCGGCAGGAAAGAAACGGCACGGGGAUAAUACUCCGCAACUGACGGUACCUGCAGAAUAAGCACUGGCCAACUACGUGCCAGCAGCGCUGCGUAAUAUGUAGGGUGCAAGCGUUAAUCGGAAUUACUGGGCGUAAAGCGUGCGAGGCGUUCGAAAGAAAGAUGUGAAAUCCCAGAGCUUAACUUCCCUUGAAAUCCGCAUUUUUAACUACCGAGCUAGAGUGUGUCAGAGGGAGGUGGAAUUCCACAGGUAGCAGUGAAAUGCGUAGAUAUGCGGAGGAACACCGAUGGCGAAGGCAGCCUCCUGGGAUAACACUGACGCUCAUGCACGAAAGCGUGGGGAGCAAACAGGAUUAGAUACCCCGGUAGUCCACGCCCUAAACGAUGUCAACUAGCUGUUGGGGCCUUCGGGCCUUGGUAGCGCAGCUAACGCGUGAAGUUGACCGCCUGGGGAGUACGGUCGCAAGAUUAAAACCUCAAAGGAAUUGACUGGGACCCGCACAAGCGUGGAUGAUGUGGAUUAAUUCGAUGCAACGCGAAAACCUUACCUACCUGAUGAUGUCUGGAAUCCCGAAGAGAUUUUAGAGUGCUCGCAAGAGAACCGGAACACAGGUGCUGCAUGGCUGUCGUCAGCUCGUGUCGCAGGAUGUUGGGUUAAGUCCUGCAACGAGCGCAACCCUUGUCAUUAGUUGCUACGAAAGGGCACUCUAAUGAGACUGCCGGUACAAACCGGAGGAAGGUGGGGGCUUAGAUGCCAAGUCCUCAUGGCCCUUAUGGGUAGGGCUUCACGUCAUACAACGACGGGACAGAGGGUCGCCACCCGCGAGGGGGAGCCGCUAAUCCCAGAAACCCGAUCGCAGUCCGGAUCGCAGUCUGCAACUCGACUGCGUGAAGUCGGAAUCGCUAGUAAUCGCGGAUCAGCAUGUCGCGGUGAAUACGUUCCCGGUCUUGUACACACCGCCCGUCACACCAUGGGAGUGGGUUUUACCAGUAGUUAGCCUAACCGUAAGGAGGGCGAUUACCACGGUAGGAUUCAUGACUGGGGUGAAGUCGUAACAAGGUAG
rnacentral:rRNA from 1 species